CGUUGACCCGGCCACGAUCAACACGGUCAAGGCGGUCAGCACGACGUCUACCGCCGAGUAAAAACGCUCGCGGCAUGAAACAAAACUACAAGAUGGCUUGAUCCUCGAAAGGGGUACGUAGGCAGCUCGUCAAAAGACGAGUUCAGCUAUCCCCCUCUCUAAAAGGGGGGGGGGAGUGGGUGCGUAUACUCGUUGACUCCUACUUAGAAAAAGAUUCAUUAUUAUAAUCAAGUUUUUAGAAACUUCAAAAACUUUUACUACAAUCUACGGUACUCCUUUUUAUCGAAAACGUUUACUCUUCAGAUAAACGCAAAAACUUUCAGGACACCCCUGGAAACGUUAAGACUCUUGUGUGCGGCCUCAUCCGGCCCAAAAUCGCAAAAUUAUCAUCUUUCAACACUUAAAGAUACACAUAUAGUCCUCAAAACAAUUGCGAGACGUCGCAAAGUUGAAAUUCAAAGAUGAUACGAACAAAUUGUCCGAACGCGACCACUGAAACCUUACACCCCGUUCGUCGAUUGGCCCCGACGAACACGCCAGCCGUCUUAAACAAACGCAACUCGAUCACUCUUUUAAUCUUCAAAAUGUCCAACACAAAGGACGAAAGCGCGCAACAACAAAAAUCCAAAAUUUUGGUUUAGCACUUCUAGUUGGCUUAAAAAUUGCCUCUAAGAAGAUGCUCGAUUCAUACCAUACAAGUCAUAUAAGCCGAGAACCUAUCGCGGACUUUAAAUCGAUACGAGUCAGGAAAAAAUCGCAACAGGAAAAACGAUAGCCGGCUAGUUACCGCACAAACCUUAAACCGAAAGUAAACCAAGGUCUUGCCCUAAACCCAACGCUCUGGUCUCUAACAUCUCAAGGCAUGAUAUCUAAAAAUUGAUACGAGAUCUUAAAACCAUGUCUCGCCGUUCACUUCUAAACGUUCACAAAUUCUGCAUCUUUUACGAACAGACGAAAGAACGCUACACUAGGAGUUAAGUAUGAGACGACAACUCAUAUUCUUUUCUCUCAACAAUUUAAAAACAUACGCAAACUGAAACUCUUGAAACAUCCAUCAUAUAUAUAAAACCGUGUAAAGCGGUAGGGGAUUCAAAGCCACCAACGGCCAGUCCCGAUAAGCAAUUAAAACGGCCGAAACAGGCCCAUACAAUCUCUCGAAAUAAAGGCCACACUCGGCCACAAACAUAGAACGGAAAGACAAGCAUAUUUCUUUCAAUAAUCACUCCACCUCUCAUGGUCCAAAGUCAAAGUCCCCAGACAACGAAUCACCGAACGCAUCUGCGGGACGAUCCACUUCCUCGUCACCAUCGGGAAACCCGGUCGGAACCUCCUCAGUAUCAGGGGAAACCGGGAUGGAAUCCCAGAACCCUUGGAUCCUCUCCUCGAUCGAGAGAAUGAGCGCCUCAGUGUGGGCACGUUCGUUCAUGCCGCUCUUCAUCAAGCUCAUUUCCUUCUCAAACACAUAGUCAUCGGCUUGCGUCCUCCAAAGACUUCCAACUGAACCGCAGCACUCACAAAAAUCGCCUACCGAGGUGAAGGCAUUCUUGAGGUUCCCAUACUCGACCUGGAACUGAGAGGCACAAGUCUUCAUCACCUCGACGAUUUCUCUUUUGCCCUUCCUUUCCGCCUUACAGAUAGCCCGCGCAUGAUCGCGAGCAAGUUGCGCCUUCUCGCUCCAACAUCUCGCCUUGCACUCGAGCGAGAUCUCGUUCCGCUUUCUCCGCUUUAAAACGAUAGACCAUAGCUUCCCUAUGGCUCGCCUCAAUGGCCGAGCCAAGCAAGUUAAGGCCCUGCGAAACCAAUUAACACGUUAUAAGCAACAAAAAAAAAA